GUGUGGCAGUUGCACACUUCCAUAUAUGGUCUCUUUUAAAUUAGUUGCACGAUUGCACAUAUGGAUUCUAAAGCAAUUUCUUAACUAGUGGCGGCCAAAAUACAAGCACCGCUUAAAGGUGAGUCUUAUCUUAAUCUCCAGUUCUAUCUUAGCAUUAUAGCUGCCUUCCGAUCCCCAUUGGAAAGCAAUGACGGCCACGUCUUAGACUCAUAAUUUCAGGCCAGAGACAUGGUAAUUAAAAAAAUAUCCAAGCAUGUCUACAAGCAUGCUUGGAUGCCUUGCAUGCUUGUAAAGCGGUAUUUGUUAAAAUAUUUUUUUUUAAAAUUUUGAUAAAU
rnacentral:lncRNA from 1 species